rfam:Triticum aestivum genome assembly, contig: Triticum_aestivum_CS42_TGACv1_scaffold_321013_4BL
AUUGUACUCCCUCCGUUCGGAAUUAGUUGUCGCAGAAAUGGAUGUAUCUAGAUGUAUUUUAGUUCUAGAUACAUCCAUUUUCGAGACAAGUAAUUCCGAACGAAGGAAGUAGAUG